CCUACGGGAGGCAGCAGUAGGGAAUAUUGCUCAAUGGGGGAAACCCUGAAGCAGCAACGCCGCGUGGAGGAUGAAGGUUUUCGGAUUGUAAACUCCUUUUGUUGGAGCAGAUAUUGACGGUAUCUAAAGAAUAAGCACCGGCUAACUCCGUGCCAGCAGCCGCGGUAAUACGGAGGGUGCAAGCGUUACUCGGAAUCACUGGGCGUAAAGCGCGCGUAGGCGGGAAGGCAAGUCAGAUGUGAAAUCCUAUGGCUUAACCCUAGUACUGCAUUUGAAACUAUUAUUCUAGAGUAUGGGAGAGGUAGAUGGAAUUCUUGGUGUAGGGGUAAAAUCCGUAGAGAUCAAGAGGAAUACUCAUGGCGAAAGCGACCUACUAGAACAUAACUGACGCUGAUGCACGAAAGCGUGGGGAGCAAACAGGAUUAGAUACCCGUGUAGUC
rnacentral:rRNA from 1 species